GCCAGCCUCCUUAACCACAACGUAAGAAGGAGCACACAAGUCCGGUCGUGGCCGCCCUCCUGUGCACUGGUCCGGCGUCGUGAGAGUCGCACGGGCAAAUUCCAUGAUGUCGCUCAACAUGAACUUGACGCGCUUUGCAGGAGGCCAUCACGAAAACAAGGAGGGGCUUCAACCGCCCGC